rnacentral:rRNA from 1 species
GAUGAACGCUGGCGGCGUGCCUAAUACAUGCAAGUCGAGCGAACGGACGAGAAGCUUGCUUCUCUGAUGUUAGCGGCGGACGGGUGAGUAACACGUGGAUAACCUACCUAUAAGACUGGGAUAACUUCGGGAAGCCGGAGCUAAUACCGGAUAAUAUUUUGAACCGCAUGGUUCAAAAGUGAAAGACGGUCUUGCUGUCACUUAUAGAUGGAUCCGCGCUGCAUUAGCUAGUUGGUAAGGUAACGGCUUACCAAGGCAACGAUGCAUAGCCGACCUGAGAGGGUGAUCGGCCACACUGGAGCUGAGACACGGUCCAGACUCCUACGAGAGGCAGCAGUAGGGAAUCUUCCGCAAUGGGCGAAAGCCUGACGGAGCAACGCCGCGUGAGUGAUGAAGGUCUUCGGAUCGUAAAACUCUGUUAUUAGGGAAGAACAUAUGUGUAAGUAACUGUGCACAUCUUGACGGUACCUAAUCAGAAAGCCACGGCUAACUACGUG